UGAAUAUUAUGAGUACUAACUACCAAAAGUCCAGCUAGAGACAAUGUGAAAUAUUUAUAUUGUUGUUGUUGUUGUUUUAUUUCCAGAAAGCACUGCGGGGGUUUUGGGAAGUCAUGCUAACUGCUUAGCUGUGCUGCGCUAGCCACCAUUUCGGUUUGUUUACUUCCGGUAUGGCUGCUGAUGAAACGAUAUGAAAACUAGCUAGUGUAACAUGACGUGUAUAGACAUGAGACGCAUUUCGGGCAUAAUAAACGCUGUAAGAAACGUGUCAGGAGCUGAAAAGAAACACACCAGACUGCUUUAAGCACUAACUCCGAGAAGAGUACCAGCUAAACCAGCCAAACCAGCACAGAGUCACGCGUGACAAGUGAGCCUUAAUGUGCCGUGCUGACGUCACAGGGAGACACUUGGUGCUUUUAGUAAGGAGAAAACAUUUCAAGGACCUCAAACACAAGAGUCAUAUCUCUCAGGUUUCACGGUAAACUCCUACAAAAUAAAAAAUAAAUAAAAACAAAUAAAAAGGCUUUUUGUUUUUGCGCACCAUUUUCCAGCGAUGUUUUGAACGUCGUAUGCGUUGCAGCUAUACGACACG
ensembl:lncRNA